rnacentral:rRNA from 1 species
GAUGAACGCUGGCGGCGUGCCUAAUACAUGCAAGUCGAGCGAACGGACGAGAAGCUUGCUUCUCUGAUGUUAGCGGCUGACGGGUGAGUAACACGUGGAUAACCUACCUAUAAGACUGGGAUAACUUCGGGAAACCGGAGCUAAUACCGGAUAAUAUUUUGAACCGCAUGGUUCAAAAGUGAAAGACGGUUUUGCUGUCACUUAUAGAUGGAUCCGCGCUGCAUUAGCUAGUUGGUAAGGUAACGGCUUACCAAGGCAACGAUGCAUAGCCGACCUGAGAGGGUGAUCAGCCACACUGGAACUGAGACACGGUCCAGACUCCUACGGGAGGCAGCAGUAGGGAAUCUUCCGCAAUGGGCGAAAGCCUGACGGAGCAACGCCGCGUGAGUGAUGAAGGUAUUCGGAUCGUAAAACUCUGUUAUUAGGGAAGAACAAAUGUGUAAGUAACUAUGCACAUCUUGACGGUACCUAAUCAGAAAGCCACGGCUAACUACGUG